GCAUUGGUCAGGCGUGGUGUUAUAGGAGCGUUCGUCAGGUGUGGUGUUAGGAGAGCGUUGGUCAGGCGUGGUGUUAUAGGAGCGUUGGUCAGGCGUGGUGUUAUAGGAGCGUUGGUCAGGCGUGGUGUUAGGGGAGCGUUGGUCAAUGUGUGUGUGUUAGGGGAGCGUUGGUCAGGCGUGGUGUUAUAGGAGCGUUGGUCAGGCGUGGUGUUAGGAGAGCGUUGGUCAAUCGGGUGAGGUGCUAGGGAAGAGUGGGUCAAUGCGUUGUAGAAGAUGCUGUAGAGCUCCUAAAAAG